UACGGGAGGCAGCAGUGGGGAAUAUUGCACAAUGGGCGCAAGCCUGAUGCAGCCAUGCCGCGUGUAUGAAGAAGGCCUUCGGGUUGUAAAGUACUUUCAGUCGUGAGGAAGGUGUUAAGGUUAAUAACCUUAGCAAUUGACGUUAGCGACAGAAGAAGCACCGGCUAACUCCGUGCCAGCAGCCGCGGUAAUACGGAGGGUGCGAGCGUUAAUCGGAAUUACUGGGCGUAAAGGGCACGCAGGCGGUUAAUUAAGUUGGAUGUGAAAUCCCCGGGCUUAACCUGGGAAUGGCAUUCAAGCUGGUUAGCUAGAGUCUUGUAGAGGGGGUAGAAUUCCAUGUGUAGCGGUGAAAUGCGUAGAGAUGUGGAGGAAUACCGGUGGCGAAGGCGGCCCCUGGACAAAGGACUGACGCUCAUGUGCGAAAGCGUGGGGAGCAAACAGGGAUUAGAUACC
rnacentral:rRNA from 1 species